CGACGGCAGCCUCGCGCUAAACCCUAAGCGCCGGCGGCCGCGUUCUCACGGCGAGACGACGGCGCCCAGCGCCUCCAGGCGGCCACUCUAUCUUCAACGACAGUCGAAGGCGCCCACACCAUCCGCAUGCCCCUCCCUCUCGAUCCAGCGAAGACCUGAGCAAGCUCUGCAUCAGGCCCUCACUAGAAGAAAAGACCUGCAGUGUGGUUCAGCGCCUGCGGGCUCGAUUCAACAAUGUUGACCUCGAUUUGGCGGCAGCACCGAUUUUUGCUGCACAACUGGGCAGCGACUCCCGCGCGAGGGGACGUGCAUCGCGAGGAGGCGCCUCUGUCAGGCACGAACAUCACCUUCAAGGCACCGCAGGAGGUUGUCAUCCGCCGACAGGUGAAUAGCCUGUGCAAGCACCCUUCUUUCAAAGCCCAUAAUGAUAUCAUUUUCUGAAGUGACUACUAACAGAUAAAGUGAGACUGUGUCAAUAAAAUGACUGAUAUGGCAUCGGGGUCUAUGAGGAGAGCGUAGUGGAGAACGUAGGAAGAGGUGGGCUUGAGAAGUGGAACGGAGCAGGUAUCGCAGCGGCGAGCUGUCGUCGACAGUGGCUGAGGACGCCACCAUCGAAGAACAGCUCCGCCCAAACAGGGAGAGCUUUAUUUCUUCGAUGAUUUCAACCGAAAACCUUAAGCUAUCUUUAUACUAGGCGCUAUGCUAACUGGACGAUCACAGAUCCCUGAAAUUAAGGAUGUGGACCUUAAGCUGCCUUUAUACUAGGCGCUAUACUAACCUUAGGCUGCAUAUUUACUCAGUGUGCUGCAAUUCUGUUAUUUUGUGCGGGACUCCUCCACUAGGAGCUGAUCCACCAGCACCAAGAUGUGGAUCGAUGCCGGCAAAAAGAAUCCAGCGGAGCAUGACCCUCUUCCAUCAAGCACCUACAGGAUGGGAAUGAGGUUGCUAAGAAGAAGUCAUUCGUUACACCACCAAGGUUCUUUAGUGUUGACGAGGCGAGAGAACGCUUGCCUUUAGUGAAAAGGAUCUCUGUAAAUAUUUCAAUCCUGGAGACCAUGUAGAAGUCCUAUCCAGAGUUCAAGAAGGCGCAACAGGCAUGGUUGUUAACGUGGAAGGGCAUGUUUUGAUCAUUUUAUCAGACACUACCAAACAACAUAUCCGCAUGUUUGCAGAUUAUGUUGUGGAGAGUUCUGAGGUCACCACAGGGAUUACAAGAAUAGGUGGAGAGGCUGGCAACUGGCUUUGGUCCUAUCUACUACAUUUUGGUGAGCGUCUCCAGGGGAGGGGAUGAGGUCAGAAGACGGUGUGGUGAAGGAAGUGCUCCCGGAUGGGUCAUGUCGUGUUGCCCUUGGAUCGCAGGGCAACAGAGACGAACUGAUUGCAACAGCAAAUGAGCUAGAGGUGGUCAGGCCGAAGAAAAACGAGAAGCUCAAGAUAACAAACUGAUUGCAACAGCAAAUGAGCUAGAGCUAGAGAUGAGUUCCAACAAGCUUCCAGUGUCGCGCGGGCAUGAGGCCAUGGCCAUGGCCAUAGAGAAUGAUGGGCCAGUGCAUUUCUUCAUGACUGGUAUCAUUCGAGAUUCCUAUCGCUGCUCGCAACAGUAUCUUAAACCAAUGACAUUUCAAAUUUGCAUCUUUCAGAAAUUGGACAUGUUAUUCUCUUAUAUAGAGAAAGCUCAAUAUAAAUGUACAAGCAUAAUUCUUACUGAUGAGUGAUCAGUUUAUCAACAAGUAGAUGGUAUUCAGCCCCUGCAUAUUGUGAAAAUAGAAAUAAGGAAUAUAUUUUAUUUAGCAUAGAGUUGUCUUCUAAUUAGAUUUAAAAAUACCGACAACAUAUGGGUUUGUAUGCCCUCCAUUAUUGACACGAUGAUCCAUGAACUACAUUCUUGAAGAUGUUAUUUUAAGCAAGAUUACUGUGUAUUUAAUUAACUCUCUAUAUUUUUCCUUUUUAUGCUUUGGAUACUGAAGAUGAUUUAGUUUCAUCAACUCUCUAUAUGAAGGUUGCUUUACUUAAUCUCACUGAAAUAUCAUCAACUUGGGCAAGGGUUAUUGAUGUCAUGGAUAGUGAGGUAUCAUUACAGCGCACCACCCAGUAUGGAUAAUCCUUAAUAUUUUCUUUCCUUUAUUUUCAAUUUCUUCUUUUUUUCCUUUAAAUUCAGUCAGGGUCAAGAUUGUUUGGUUUUAUUGGGGCUGGUGCUAUGCUGGGGCAACUUUUUUGUUCAUUGUUUGCUGCAAGCAUGGCAUGGCUGGGACCUGGUAUACAAGGAGGAUAAGCUUGAUAAAUUUAUGUGAUAAUCUGGUUCAGGCCAUUACAACCUGUGGCUUUGAUCAGGCACCAGGUGGAGUCAUUUUCAGAGAAAUAAAGGAGAUGCUGUCGCUGCAUUUUAAUCUUGAUAGAUAGAAUUGUUUUUUCUACCCAUUCUUGUAAUAAGUGUGCACACACGAGUUAGCUCAUUUUGGCCUAGCUAGGGACCCAGAUCAGCCGAUUGUUUGGCUUGAUCCCCUCCCAAGAUUUGUACGGUCUUCGUUGGAUUGAGACGCUGCUGAUCCAGAAUCUGGUGUCGGUCUUCGUUGGAUUGCGACGCUGCUGAUCCAGAAUCUGGUGUCUGAAUGAAUGAGCAAAGGUUCAAAAAAAAAA